CUUAUGCGUUGUUGGGUAGGGGAGCGUUCUGUAAGCCUGCGAAGGUGGCCUGUGAGGGCUGCUGGAGGUAUCAGAAGUGCGAAUGCUGACAUAAGUAACGAUAAAGCGGGUGAAAAGCCCGCUCGCCGGAAGACCAAGGGUUCCUGUCCAACGUUAAUCGGGGCAGGGUGAGUCGACCCCUAAGGCGAGGCCGAAAGGCGUAGUCGAUGGGAAACAGGUUAAUAUUCCUGUACUUGGUGUUACUGCGAAGGGGGGACGGAGAAGGCUAUGUUAGCCGGGCGACGGUUGUCCCGGUUUAAGCAUGUAGGCGGAGGUUCCAGGUAAAUCCGGUACCUUUUAACGCUGAGGUGUGAUGACGAGGCACUACGGUGCUGAAGUAACAAAUGCCCUGCUUCCAGGAAAAGCCUCUAAGCAUCAGGUAACAUUAAAUCGUACCCCAAACCGACACAGGUGGUCAGGUAGAGAAUACCAAGGCGCUUGAGAGAACUCGGGUGAAGGAACUAGGCAAAAUGGUGCCGUAACUUCGGGAGAAGGCACGCUGGUG
rnacentral:rRNA from 1 species